rnacentral:lncRNA from 1 species
CGAAAACGAGGGGUUCGCCCAUGGCGCACGGGCCGAAAACCGAGGUUCGGGCAUGGCCCCGGAAAUAAGCUAAGUCCAAGCGUGUGGAAAGACACCGAAGGUAAUAUGUAUGUCUUGGGUGAAGGGCAUGGCGGAACGGAGGGAAAACGGCACGGAGGCGCAAGGCGACGGGCGGCAUGGCUGUUCGGCCUUGCGUCUGGGCCGAAAAUGAGGGGUUCGCCCAUGGCGCACGCGCCGAAAACUGAGGCCCGGGCACGACCCCGAAAAAAGCUAAGUCCAAGCGUGUGGAAUGGAAAGACAACAAGCUAAGGUGUAUGUCAGGCUUGAGUGAAGGGCAAGGUGGAACGGAGGGAAAACGGGAGGAGGCGCGCGGCGACGGGCGGCAGGGCUGUUCGGCCUUGCGUCUGGGCUGAAAACGAGGUGUUCGCCAUGGCGCACGGGCCGAAAACGGAGGCUCGGGCACGAACUCGAAAAUAAGCUAAGUCGAAGCAUGUGGAAAGACACCGAACAUAAAGUCUAUGUCUUUGGUGAAGGGCACAGUGGAACGGAGGGAAAACGACACGGAGGCACGCGACGAACGGAGGCUCGGGCACGGAGGCGCGCGGCGACGGGCGGCAUGGCUGUUCGGCCUUGCGUUUGGGCUGAAAACGAGGCGUUCGCCAUGGCGCGCGGGCCGAAAACAACGGUUCGGCCACGGCCUCGGAAAUAAGCUAAGUCCAAGCGUGUAGAAAGACACCGAAGCUAAUGUGUAAGUCUUGGGUGAAGGGCACGGUGGAACGGAGGGAAAACGACACGGAGGCACGCGACGACGGGCGGCAGGGCCGUUCGGCCUUGCGUCUGGGCUGAAAACGAGGGGUUCGCCAUGGCGCACGGGCCGAAAACGGAGGCUCGGGCACGAACUCGAAAAUAAGCUAAGUCCAAGCGUGUGGAAAGACACCGAACCUAAAGUGCAUGUCUUGAUUGAAGCGCAAGGUGGAACGGAGGGAAAACGGGAGGAGGCGCGCGGCGACGGCGGCAGGGCCGUUCGGCCUUGCGCCUGGGCUGAAAACAAGGGGUUCGCCAUGGCGCGCGGGCCGAAAACCGAGGUUCGGGCAUGGCCCCGGAAAUAAGCUAAGUCCAAGCGUGUGGAAAGACACCGAAGGUAAUAUGUAUGUCUUGGGUGAAGGGCAUGGCGGAACGGAGGGAAAACGGCACGGAGGCGCAAGGCGACGGGCGGCAUGGCUGUUCGGCCUUGCGUCUGGGCGAAAACGAGGGGUUCGCCAUGGCGCGCGGGCCGAAAACAACGGUUCGGCCACGGCCGCGAAAACGGGCUAAGUCCCAGCGUGUGGAAAGACACCGAACCUAGAGCGCAUGUCUUGAGUGAAGGUAAAGGUGGAACGGAGGGAAAACGGGAGGAGGCGCGCGGCGACGGGCGGCAGGGCUGUUCGGCCUUGCGUAUGGGCUGAAAACGAGGAGUUCGCCAUGGCGCGCGGGCCGAAAAAAACGGUUCGGCCACGGCCGCGAAAACGGGCUAAGUCCAAGCGCGUGGAAAGACACCGAGGCUGCUACGUAGGUCUCGGUUGAAGGGCACGGUGGAACGGAGGGAAAACGGGAGGAGACGCAAGGCAACGGGCGGCAGGGCUGUUCGGCCUUGCGUUUCGGGUGAAAACGAGGGGUUCGCCAUGGCGAACGGGCCAAAAACGGAUUUUCGGCCACGGCCGCGAAAACGGGCACGUGGAAGGGCACGGGACCCUCCCGUGGUCCCCCCGCGUGAGACGUGGAAGUUCGGGUGCACCCGUGAGGGAAAACGGGUCACGCUAGCGAAACCCCUGAUUCUGAGCAAAAACGCUGUGUCCAGCCAUCUUAGAUGGGUUUCGUGGGGUACUGGGAAAAUGCCCUGGUUUUCUGAAGGCAGAACUCCCCGAAGUCCUGGGAGGGGGUAUGCCCCUCAGGUAUAGUAGGGGGUAGGGAACUCGUGCAGCCGAAACCCGGGCGAAACGCUGCUGAAACCAUAGCGUUUCCAGCGUCUCCUCCAGGUCUCCUCGGCCGAGCCCCGCACCCCCUCGCGGCCUAGCCGUGGCCGGUCGGCACCCUACCGCGCCCAGCUCCGGCUGGCGCUGUUGGCUGCCUGGCCGGCCGUGGUUCGGCCGUGACGCAGCCACGACCGGCUAUGGCUGGCUACCGCCGGCCAGACGCCCUGGACGAGUGGCUGCACCGUGGGAUGGCCCGUUGCUCGAUGCGUUUUCCGUUUCUCCCGCGCUCGGUGGACCUUCGGUCGCCGUCCUCGCAAGCAGACCCGCCGCGCCCAGCGCGGAGGGAUGCUUUGGAUGGCUCGAUCGUAGCGGCUACGCUGGCGCAUGAGUUGUCUUGGACCCGUGACUGCUUGGAGGACCCCCGCUGCCGUGCGGCCGACUCCCGGCGCCCGUGUCCCAUCGCUCGUGCGGGCAUCCGUGCCUGCUGCGUUGAGAAGUGCUUGCGUGCUGCUACCCGUCCCACGGGAAGCCGUGCUCGAUACACGUUGCCUUCGUCGAGCUCACCCCCCGGGGUGCGGCUCGUCGGCUCGAGAGCGCCCGCGGCGUUUGCCUCGUGCCGCCGUCGCCUAUGGCCGGCGGCACCGAGGACACCUCGCUGGCGCUUUUGGUCUCGGAUGUGGCUCACGCUGAAGGCCGGAGACGCGUUGGCGUCACGCGCCCAAGAAUCGGUCCGCCCGAACGAACGACGGCCAGCCCGGCACGACGCCUCCGCGCGUAGGCCGGCGCUGGCCCGUCUGCGAGGACGUGCUACC